UAAUGCGUCGCGUCACUGUAAUUAUAGGUAUAACGUUUCGGUAUACGAGAUUGUAGCUUGGGGGCGCGAGAGAGUUUUAUUGAGUGUUAAACAUUGCGUGGUAAACUAAGAUAGAAAGCAUUUGGUGAGUUCAUCGUGAUUAAUUCAAGAGAAAGAUACGUAAGACUGUUGAUACCUUUCUCGGUUGUGAGGCUAUAUAGAGAAUUUGAACCUUUGUGACUGUAGUCGUUUUUGUCGAAGAAUUGAUUAAAAAGUGACUGUCGUAAGCUUCAACGAUCUUGAGUUUCGUAGAUUCUCGAAAAUUCCAACAAUUUAUAAAUAUCGAUAUUGAGAUAGAGAAUGCUCGAUAUAAGGAUAUAGAACAGGAGAAAGAGAGAAAGAUUUCGAGAUUUCAACGAAAAAUAAUAAAAUAAACGUUAUUGAACUACGGAGAUUUAAGAGAAUGUUAUCAUCGAAUUUACAAUAGAGGACAUUGUGGAGUGUGCGUGACCAGUGCGGGCAAAUAGAGACCUCUAUCGCGUGUUUGUCCAGUUCCUUAUUGUCCCGCCGUUUAAGCCACGAGAUCAGAUAACGUUAACCUUCGCGGACCAGUUUACAACAUGUGUCCCCGGGCCGUUUUCGCGGGUUAACGUUUGUACCGUGCGCCGCGUACAGAUUGCCGACAAAUAAUUUAGAAUCAGGCAACCGUUCGACGGUGUAUCUGUUGGGGGUUGGCUGAUGAAAAAUCAGCGCUGCUCAGCCGCCAAUGAUAACGCAGGCUUCACGUGAGCGUGACAUCGGCUGCCGCGACAGAAGCACGCUUCACUGCGCAGACCGGUGCGCACUCGUGUUCGCUAGCGACGCCGCCGGUAGGGAUUUUUCGUGAUUCGGGUGAAUGGGCGAAGAAAUGCGCUCGUCGAGGAAAUACAAGUUUAUCGGCGGACUGAGGUUAGCGUAAAAUUUACAUCGUAAAGAAAGACGGAGAAAGUGUUCGAUACGAAAGAAAUCGGUCUACGAAAGCAAGACAAGGCAUAUUAAUAGAAACUAUAUACAUACAUAGUUUGUAACGCAUUUUGGAAGAUUUUGCAUUGUUCCGAAUAUGUAUAUGUCGCGAAAGAUUCAAAUCACUUUGAACAUAAUUUAGUAUUUGAAACUUUUGAACUUUUGUGUAUCGGUUGGCCUUGAAGUUUUGACAAUUUCAUGGCUGUCUUAUUAUGAUAUAUUGAGUUCAAAAAUUGUUUUUAUGAAACACUUACAAUGUGACUUGUCACGUUUCUCUUCCCUUCAUAUAAAAAAUUUAAUACUGAUCUUUCAAAACUUUGAAAUCUGCCAAGACUCUCGAAGCUCCAAGGACUCAAAAAAUUUAUCAAGAUUCAAGAUUCAGCAGCUUUAAAUAUCGAAUCACAUUCGAAGUUGAAAUUGAGUUUUAAACAUAACGAAUGAUAUACAGUAUACGAAGUGAAUAGAUAAGAGCAAGAAUAAGAGAGACAGUGCUACAAGGAAAACGGAAUUGUACGAGACAGAGAAAGCAGAGGGCAGGCUGAUCGCCACUGGACAUUGACAGAGAUAGGAGAGAGGAAAAACAACGGUGCAGGAGUGGAUUGGAGUGUAGUAGGAGAAAAGGAUAGCGACGAGGUUGUACGAUUGGAAAUCUGGAAGCGGCAACCUGUUCAGAGGACUUAAAAGAGCCUAAUUAUCCAGUUUCAACAAUCACGUGAGUCUUUAAUGGUUUGUCUUUCACCGAGGUUGCGUCUGCAAUUCUUCCGAAUCCUUUCCUGCUGAUGCCAAUGGGAACGAUCAAGGCACGUGCAAUCCGUUUUGCCAAAACUGCAAGGACUUUCCAUACGCGUGUAGCAACGUAUCUUUGCCGAAGUUGCAUCUGCGAUGCUCCUGUAACCCUUCAUAGCGGUGGACAUCUCGCCGUUCCGCCGUGGCUUUUGUAUGUGUAGCACGCGUUAUUUCUUGUUUCUUUCAAUAAAGUAUUUUUACAUAAUGGUAAGUUUUAAUAUAUCAUUUUGAAGUCGUUGUAGUGUGAUCGUGAGGGUUUGAUUUAAUUAUAAAGUUGUAUAGUUUUAUAUUUCGAGGUUAUCUUGUAUUCAUAAUGGCGUGCUAUGAAUUUUGGUUAUAUGAAUCUCGAUCAGUGAUUUUUAGUAUGCGAUCGCUAUUUCGGUAUUUUAGUUUAUUGGGGUUUUUAUUUUCUCUUGGUGAUUACAGGUUAUGUUGAGUCAUGGACACAAAAGCGUCCGCGCCUGUGCGAACUGUCACAAGAGGAGGAAGGUAUGUGAAUGGUACGAGAUGACGUGAUCGACGUGCGUGUGUGAAUAUGUGCGAAGGAAGAUGCUGAAGGGGCGGUUUUCCACCCAAGUAGGCACAGUGGCACCUUCGUUGGCGUCGUGUCCUGAUGAUCUUUUGACAAUUUGCUUUUAUUUGACAAUAU